CUUUUCUGCUGACUCCUCACGCCCCCGCGCCUCCCCGCUCCGUCACACGCCGGGAAUUCGUGGCUCGUCUCCAAAAUAAAAAAUGGACUGGUGUUGCCUGUGCGUUUUAUAGCAAUAGAGUGGAUGACUGGGGCAGGCUGCGAGUCUUAUUGGCAUACUGAGAACACCUGGGUUCACUGCAGUCCAUAAACAAGACGAAUCAUUUCACCAGUUCAAAAAAAAGGGAAGAUCUUGCUUUGACACAGUCCUUCUCCUAAUCUUCCCCAUUCUAAGAGAGGGGAAAAAGCCCACCUCCAAUCCUACUAGAAGACUGAGAGCCAUCAAGUUCCUGUCUCGUGAGCCCUGUUUCUCUUUUAACUUCCCAGAAUCCGGGUGUCUUCCAUGUGGGACUGCUCACUGACUUCCAGCAGUGCUUCAGACAGUGCGAUGUCCAGGAGCUGUAGAGUGAAACCCUUAGAACUGAAUAUUCUGGUGAAGUGGUGAAGUUCCAGAUCCCGAUGCUUUUGGUGUCUUCUCUGUUUUCUGUUGGUGUCUCUGGGGAAGAUACUGAAGAAGAUGCAGGCAUGCUGAAAACUUCAGAAAAGUGAGCCAUGAGUCUUUUCGAAAGCUGAAAAGAGGACCCCUAAUAGGGUCAUGAACCUGAGACAAGUCUUUGUGUCUGUACUGCUGUUUGGAGUAGCUGGUCUACUCCUCUUCAUGUAUCUACAAGCUUGGAUUGAAGAACAACAUACAGAGUCUGGAAAAAAGCUGCGACAACAGAUAAUUAAUCAGGAUUUCACACUCCAACCUCCGGGGAUGCCAAGGGAAGCAUUAUGGAGCAGAAGCGCUCCCGUGAGCCUCAGUAAACAUGAGAUGGCUGUCUCAAGCAGCAAGCACUGGCAGGGCAAGGCUGACCCUUUCAGUGUGGUAGCUGCCUCCUUGGUGAGCCAACUGCCUGACCAGCAGAAGACAAGCGAGUCACCUCUCAGCUGGUUCAGAGGAGUGUAUUUACCCCCUGCACUGUACCCAUUAAACAAGACGUUAGUCAAGGAUAACAAGUGGAAGGAUGUAGAUAGCACCCAGGAAAAGCGCAGGUCAUUCCUGCAUGACUUCUGUAAGAAGUACAACAGCAGAAAGAAGCUGCAAACCCACCUGGUGCACCUGGUGUCAAGAAUUUAUGUGGAGGACAGGCACAAGGUCCUGUACUGUGAAGUGCCAAAAGCAGGCUGUUCCAAUUGGAAAAGGGUCCUCAUGGUGCUCAGUGGACUCGCCGCUUCAGCACACAACAUUUCCCAUGAUGAUGUACACUAUGGAAAACACCUUAGGAAACUGGACAGUUAUGACCUAAAAGGGAUAUACACACGCUUGAACAUGUACACCAAGUUUAUAUUUGUACGUGAUCCUAUGGAAAGACUGGUAUCUGCCUUCAGGGAUAAGUUUGAACAUCCAAACAGCUAUUACCAUCCAGUAUUUGGGAAGGCAAUAAUUAAGAAGUAUAGACAUAACGCAGAUGAAGAGGCUUUGAAAACAGGAUCAGGAGUUAAGUUCAAGGAGUUCAUCCAAUAUUUGUUAGAUUCCCAUCGACCAGUAGGAAUGGACAUUCAUUGGGAGCAAGUCAGUAAGCUCUGCUACCCCUGCCUCAUCAACUAUGAUUUUAUAGGAAAGUUUGAAACCCUGGAAGAAGAUGCCAAUUACCUUUUGCAACUGGUAGGUGCUCCAGCUGAUCUGAAGUUCCCUAAAUUCAAAGACAGACAUUCCUCUGAUGAGAGAACAAGUGCAGAAGUAGUGAGGCAAUACUUAAAGGAAUUGUCUAAGGAGGAGAGACAGCUGACCUAUGACUUCUAUUACCUUGAUUACUUAAUGUUCAAUUAUACAUCACCAAUUGUAUAGCACCAGAAUAGCUUCAGGCUUCUAUUAGAUAUUUAUCGUUUUGGGAUUCAAAGCAACUACUUUGAUAUCAGCCCUGAAAGGAAACAAAGUUACUGCUAAAUGGAGUUGACUUAGUGGGGAUUUUAUAAGCUAGAGUGAUAUCAAUUGGCGUUAAAUUAUAGGAGAAUGCACAGAAAAGAAGACCUGUUAACAGCAUAAAUUGCACUAAAAUGCCUGAAAAAGCUGCUUUUAUGAUUGUGGAUUACACUAUGGUAGCUCAGCCAGCUGUUGCAUUAUCUUACCUAAUGUUCUUCUAAUGUUUUAAGAAGAAAACAUUCAGAGUAGCAUGAUUCUUUUUUGGUGUGUCUGCUUUAGAAAUUGUUUUUGAAACAACUUUUGAAUAUAUUUUUACUUUCUGUCAGUUAUUAAUAAAGAAGCAUUGGCUAAUUUUCUAAAAUAUUUGCAGCAUCCUCAGUUGCAAGGCUUCGUUGUUUGAUUACCAUUAAACUGUAGCCAUUUUUAGACCUGAUUUUUUUUUUAUUGAAGGAUGCACUUGAAUACAAAUGCAUCAAGCUACAAAUAACACAGCAGCUCAGUUGAUCAGUAGAGUAAAUUUGGGUAAGCCUGUGAAGUGCCAGUCCACUACCCCAUUUUGAUUGAUGCACUGGAGCUGACAAAUAUGAGAGAGAGCGCAUAUUUUCUCUACUUUCAGAGAGCUGCUGCAUUCAUUAAAAUUAAGAUUUUAACUUACAGAGGGUACAUCAUUACAUAUGAUGCAUGGAUACUGUGGUCCCAAUACUCAAUGUAGUCUUCAUUUUUGGUGAUAGGGCAAAGUUUUAGUGUGGCAGCUACAGAACAUUCUAAGGUCUGUACUGAGAAGCAACCUCAAUGCAACUGCUGUGACCAUUCUUGGUCUGCCAGGGUCCAAUCAUCAGCCCACCUCCCAGGAAUUUUUAACACAGAAGGUGCAUAUGCCCAUUGCCUCCCAAGCCCAUAAACUGGUGCUGUCUCCAGAGCUUCCUGAAGUCACCUGUGUUUUGCUGUCCUGCCUGCCUUGUCAGCAGCCAGCAAACCCCAGGAAUGGGGUGGAUGCUUCAGUUAUAUGAGGUGGGAUGUGUAUUGGUGAUUUUUCCUAGAGGCAGGUAUGUCCAGAGUCCCACAGUCCUGGUUAUAAAAGGAAAAGGUACCUUCUACAUUCCCCUUUGCUCUCCUCCCUCAAAUGCUGCCUGACCAACAUUUGCAGUUGUUCCUGAAACCUGCAUUGAAGGAUGGGUCGCCAGGGUGUCCCAGGAGGAGGAGAAUCUCUGAAAAAUCACAGGAUCAUGGAAUCAUUGAAAAAGACUUUUAAGAUCAUCAAGUCCAACCAUUAACCUAACACUACCAAGUCUACCACUAGACCAUGUCCCUAAAAUGGGUAGGAAAAAAUCUCUAUGCCCUUCUGCAAUAAAGAUGUCACCUAUUCUUUGCUUUCUGGAGUGGUUUGGGUCAUCUUACUCCAGUGUCUUGACAAAGCAGGUUGUAGAAUAAGGAAACAGCUUGAUGGGAAAGUGAUGCAAGUAAAAUGUCCUCUGUUCCCAAUCACUGGUCACAACUAGUGCAAUUAUUGCUGUCUUUUCCUUUAUCGUGGGCAAAUGUACAGUUUCAGUCGUUUCACAGGAGUGGGUCCCUGCUGAAAAGGCAGACCAUCUCCUAUUCUCCUGUGUACCCUUGGCUGCUUGUUUCUCCUUCAGUUUUGUCCUCAGGAGAGGAAGAAAGCCACCUCCAGUCUCUGUGGUGCCAGUAUGUAAUUGAGCAAGCUCUGCAUAUGUCUCCUUGUGGCAGGACAAGCCGCUCCAAGGGAGAAAGUUGAAGGUGAUGCUAUUUGUGACUAGCAGCACCCAUAGAUGAAUCCAGCCUGUUCCCUGGGGCCAUAGAGCAAAGAGGAGAAGGAAAAAGACAUCAUCACUGUGAGGUGUUGCAGUGUGGUAUGUGUCAUGACCAUGAGGGAGGUGCAGAUGUUCAGCACCAAUAAGAAGUUGCAAGGAUGCCUUGGACAGAUGUAGCUCUGCUUGUGGCUGGAGUGACAGACUUGGACUUCAGAGACCUGGAUCUUCCUCCAAGUUCUGUAACUUCAUAGACUUGUUGGACAAACAUGAAAUUCUCUGUGCCUCGGUGUCCCCAUUGGUAAAGUGGUCCUGUACAUGGAAGGAAAUUAUACCAUGUGCCUUCUCCUAAAAUCAUUGAACUAUGUGGAUAAAGAGCUGUGGUUAGAAAUUAGAUUGCCUGGGACAGGAUGCUGCCAGGUCUGUGGAUCUGCACUUUGUCCACCUGUGCCUGCUUCUGGUCAUGGAUGCAGCUACAGGUUUUGGGAGGAGGUUUCCUGGUGGGGCACUUUGUAGAGGAGGAAGUAGACAAGGGCUUGCAGUAUCUGUCUACCUUCAAGGAAGUUAUUAUGUUACCACCUAUAGUGCACUUCAAGCCACAGACACAAGCUGUCACCUUUGCUAUGACUUCUGCUAUUCUCUUAAAAAAAAAAAAAAAAAAAAUAACCACCAAAACAGAAAAGGGACAGAGAGAAAACCUCUAAUGAGAAGGGGAAAUGUUAAUUGUGGCUGGAGGUGACAAUGCACAAUAAUAAAUUGCUGCUUUGCUAUUGUAUCUCUCAUCAAAGUACCCGAAGACUGCAGCAGAGCAAAAGCUCAGCUCCAAGGGAGGAUGAUGUUUCUCAAAAUCCUCAUGAUCCCUGCAGGUCUCGUUGAAUGGCAGAGAAAAGACAAACACAGAACCAAAGUUAAAAUUUUUCUGUGUCUCAGACUUGCUGCCAAUAAGGCUCCUGUUUCUCCCUGCAUCUUUUUGGCUGUGUCCACCCUAAUGGCUGCAGUGGGUCAAGAGAAAUGCACUGCCUCUGUGUGCAAAAACUACCCUAAUGGAAGCACUCUUAACAAGCAGAAUAUGGCUCACAAUUUAUUUUCUGCCUUGCUUUAUUUGAAAGUGAUGCUAAGACUGAAAUUUCCAGCUUAAGGUGAUGUGUUUUAGGCUACUCAAUCUGCAAGUUAGCAGCUGGAGAAAGCAGGCAAAACUUUUUAGGUGGACUGGGCCAUUGCUGCUGCCAGGCACAUCUCUAGGAGCUGCAAAGGCCACGUCUGAGAAGCAGGAUGGCCUUAAGGGAUACUCCUAAGUGUUGAUGAAGAACCCAGUUCUUACGAAACCAUGCCUAAUGGUUUUUUAGUAUAAAAGAUAUCCCUGAACUGGAAGCAGCAAGGACUACUUUGCCAAACCCAUGCCCUUCUGAACAAGACAUGGAGAAGGAGAGGAAAUAUUUUGGGACAUUUGAGAGAUUCUUUCUAGCAUUUUCAGUUCUGUUUUCUGUGCCUCCUGACCCCCAGGCACCAGGCACUUCAUUAAUUUACUGCAAUUUACCAAAGGAAAACAAGGUCUACCCACUUGCACCUUUAUAGCUAAAAUCUGCUCUCUGUGCUGUCUUGGUUACAAAAACAGGCACAGGCUGAAUGAGAGAAGCUGGGAACUUGUUAUGUAAAAUCUACUGCAAGUGAGCUUUUCUAGUGCCUUUUCUAUUAUGCCUUGACCCCUUAUUUUGGCACAGUAACAAAACCACUGAGACUGGGCAGUUAUAGGGUUUCACAGGCUUUUUUUUUUUUUUCUUCCUUUUUGGCCUCAUCACAAAACCCAAGUGAAUCAAUGGUGUGCCCAAACUUCUGAAAUAGUCUAAGACUUCCAGUAUCUUCUACACACAAAAACACAGUGGGGGAAGAUUUGUAUUCCGUUUAUUCUUUAUUGAAUCAGGACAGACUCCUGCCUAAAAAUACCUUGUUUAAGAUCACAAUAGAAAGCUCCCACACAUUUUUCCAGUUGCUUGAUAUUUGACUACAUUAUGAUCCCUGUUGUUUUGCCUUCACUUUGUUUUCUGUACGUGCCUUAAAGUCUCCAUUUUUCCCAAAAAUUACACUUGCCUGUAACUCAGGUGAUUAUUUUCCCCUCCAAGACUUGACCUUUGUUCCACUUCAGCAUCAUCACUUGAGUAAAAAAAUAACAGUAAAAAAUAAAUAUACUAAUAAAUAAAUGAAACUAGAACUGGGGGAAGGUUUGGGAAGGCUUGGGA